CAGCCGCCCACAGGCACUGGCAGGGGUGCAGCACCGAGCAAACAACGCUGCUGAGUCGGAGGCAACCCCUGAGAGAAGCCAGCGACGCGCUGAGCGCCCUCCUCGACCGCCCCCCGCCCUGGAGUGCACAGACAGCACCUCAGAUGAAGCAACCGCAUCUGCACGCAGUGCUGAAGAUGUGGGUGUGCCAGGAAUUUAUAUAGCGAUCAAAGACACACUUGAUGGAUGCCACCAACACUUCCCAGGGUAACAACAUGACCACACACCAAGACACCCCAGGGAAAGUGCCCGUGGGCAGCGACACAGGAAAGAUGGAUUCCAAAGCUGCUGGGUGAGCGGCCGAGCGCCUAGAGACACCAAGCUCUGUGGGUCACCGCAGCGGUCAGGGAGCCAAAUGGUUGGACUAGCAGGUUUAAGGCUUGGGGCAGCCAGAUCUCUCCCCUCCACACACAAAGGGGGCCCAGGCCAAGCCCUGUUGGCUGCAGCUGGGUCCCCAGCAGGAUUAGGGGUGGGGUAGGAGGGGAGUGGUAGCACUUCCGAGCAUGGCACUGGGGAGAGCACCCACUGGCAGCAUCUCCUCCCAGCCAAACCAACACACGGCACAGGCCAGGCGGGUCCAUAUAGGGGCCCUCCCCCUGACAGCCGGGACUCAGUGGCCACAGGGUCACACUUGAUGGGGACACCAAUGGGAUGAUAAAUCGGUGCACUCAACAUCCGCAGGGCAGAGCGGGGAUAGAACCCAGGAGUCCUGGCUCCCCGCUGCCCCCCCUUGCUCUAACCACUAGACCCCACUG